UGGGGAAUUUUGGACAAUGGGCGAAAGCCUGAUCCAGCAAUGCCGCGUGUGUGAAGAAGGCCUUCGGGUUGUAAAGCACUUUUGUCCGGAAAGAAAUCCUUGGCUCUAAUACAGUCGGGGGAUGACGGUACCGGAAGAAUAAGCACCGGCUAACUACGUGCCAGCAGCCGCGGUAAUACGUAGGGUGCAAGCGUUAAUCGGAAUUACUGGGCGUAAAGCGUGCGCAGGCGGUUUGCUAAGACCGAUGUGAAAUCCCCGGGCUCAACCUGGGAACUGCAUUGGUGACUGGCAGGCUAGAGUAUGGCAGAGGGGGGUAGAAUUCCACGUGUAGCAGUGAAAUGCGUAGAGAUGUGGAGGAAUACCGAUGGCGAAGGCAGCCCCCUGGGCCAAUACUGACGCUCAUGCACGAAAAGCGUGGGGGAGCAAAACAGGAUUAGAUACCCCUGGUAGUCCACGCCCUAAACGAUGUCAACUAGUUGUUGGGGAUUCAUUUCCUUAGUAACGUAGCUAACGCGUGAAGUUGACCGCCUGGGGAGUACGGUCGCAAGAUUAAAACUCAAAGGAAUUGACGGGGUCAUAGCUGUUUCCU
rnacentral:rRNA from 1 species